UCCAUGCUUGAUGGGGGAGGAGGAAGGG
rnacentral:sRNA from 1 species